rnacentral:piRNA from 1 species
CCCGCGUUGUGAACCCCGGUAUCUAGA